UGCAAGUGUAGAACAAGGGUGCAGAAUUUAAGGAGUCAGUCACUCUCAGGGUUUUGUAGCAUUUGUAGGACCCUGAGAGUGAGUACCUCCUGAAAUUUUUCAUCCUAGGCACCUCUUUAAUCU
rnacentral:precursor_RNA from 12 species